GAAAUUGGGCUUGCUGCAGCAAAGGCCAGCAGCAUCCUUUUUGUCGAGCUGCCUGCAUGCCAGUCACCUUGUAGGAUGAAACCUUCCCCAAGGAAAGCAUCCAUCGGAUUUUAUGUCUACCUCCUGAAGUCACGAGGAGGCAGAGCCCACUCCUGCCCCUCUGGAAGCCAACGAGAGAACUCCUUGACUUGAUUGGGAACGUGUUCAAGUAAUGAUUCAGGUGACAACUGCUUUCUCACUUCCACCUGUGCCAAUGAAAUCAGGCGCUGACCUCACCUCUCCUCACCUGGAUGUCCACCUCCAGCCUUCGGCUCCAACCUCUGAGCCUUCUGCUUUGUAUCCUUCUGCCCCUCUUCACAUCACUCCUGCAAUGUGUGUGUGGCUCUGGGCUGGCAGUGCUACACGUCAGGGAAUCGGGAGGAAAACAGGAACCUAAGCAGACAUUGGAUGACUUAGUAACAGCCACAGCACAUUGCUGUUUCCAUGUGUUUUGGAUCCUCUCUGAACAAGAUGCUUCUGAAGCUUCCCAUUUCUGGGCAUGGAGGUUGGCAGUUGUCCUAAAUACACAGCCCUUCCAAAAUUUCAGCUUCAAAUCUCAUGCCUCUUCCUGAGCACAUGCAGGGCUCAAUUUUUCCUGUGUUUUCCAAAAGCUUUGUUAGUAAAUCACUCAGAGAGGACAAAAACUCCUGAAGACAAGGGAUGAAUACCUAUGCUUCUUCCUACACCCCUUUGCAAGAGGAACAAAGUAGGCUAUCUAUAAUGAUAGUCACUAAGUUACCAGGUCAACCCCUCUCCCUGUCCUCAUUCACCAUGUUGUGUGUUUCUGCACCAUCCCUGGACUCAAAUGAUAAAAGACAUCCAUGCCAGGUCAUUCCCAGAGCUUUCACCCCAGGCCUGUCUGCUUUUCCUUUCAAAGCACACCAAAGGCUAAUCCCAGUGGAUCAAAUACCUCAAAGAACACAUGGAAGGAGAUGCUAAAGAAUGCGGGGAAAUGGAAGAGAGCUAUCAUGCUCAUGAGGAUCUGAUGGGGGUGGGUAGAGGUAUGACCGAAGCUUGCAAAUCAGAAAGGCAAUGCAUAGGGUGAGCGUACAACUGAUAGUUGAGAAAAAUUCCACAGCUCUAGGAGGAGGUGGAAUGCUUUGAAACCAUCAGAUCUGUUCAACGAGAACAGAAGAUAGCCUACAGUAAAUCUUCUGGUAUUCCUUACGAUAGGAAAUUUUGGACGAGAGCAUAAACAGGACCACAAUGGUCUCAGGCAAACUAAAUGCCAACAAAUUCAUAUGCAGAUGCAACGGAAAGAUGGCAGUGGUGUACCUUGCCACUAAUCCAUUGAUUACAAAAGCAGAAAAAAAAAAAUAAGAGGUCACCGGACUGAAGGUGAACCGGAGAUAUUCAAAACUCACCUGGAAAUUUUCUUGUGCAACCUACCCCAGGGAAUCCGCUUUAGCAGCAGAUUGGACUAGAUGUGCUCCAGAGGCCCUUCCCAUCCUAUAUGAAUGAUUAUGUGACUGCAAAUACUGGCCCAGCCUCCAUACCCUACCCUGCUGAGCAUUUCUGGUUGCUGCUGCCUAAUUACAGGACAAGGCAGAUUGCUGGUCUGAUACAGCAAGGAUUCGCUUGUGUUGUUAAAGAGCAAAAGUUGUUUCUAACACGUGCUGAACUCUGUAUUAAAAUUCUGUAAUCAGUUUUCUUCUGACC
rnacentral:lncRNA from 7 species